AACAAAUUGCUGUAUAAAAACGGCCAAAACUGAACAGUAUCAUACUGUUUCUAUUGAAAACGGUACUGCACCGUGAAAAACAAUGCAUUCUGGGCAAUUAUUACUGUUUUUAAUAAAAUACUGUAAUAUACUGUGAGUAGCAUUGCAUUUUGGGAAUGAUGUUAGAUUCAACGGCAAGGAGACUCUCUUUAAACAGAAUGCUACUGUAUUUCACAAGAAGACACGUUGUUGUGACAUGUGGAAGCAACCUCUAGAAUUUUCUUUACAAGGACUAUCCAUUUGAAUCCUGCAUUUUAUGAGCCAAUCCGGUGGAAAAGACCAUGUGACUGCUGGGCACUGGAUGAUCAGUCUUGAGAGCUAUAUUGUAUGUGAGGGCAUUCAACCGACCUUUGUGACCGGGCUUGCUGCACUGUUUUCAAUGUACUACACCUACAAUAUCAAGAAGAGGCUGCAUGUACACUUGAAUUCAUCCAGAGGCACUUUCUUGAUAUCAACCCUGAAAGAGGGAC